AUUGAACGCUGGCGGCAGGCUUAACACAUGCAAGUCGAGCGAGCGGCGGACGGGUGAGUAAUGUCUGGGAACCUGCCUGAUGGAGGGGGAUAACUACUGGAAACGGUAGCUAAUCCCGCAUACCAUCAGAUGUGCACAGAUGGGAUGAGCUAGUGGGUGGGGUAGUGGUUCACCUAGGCGACGAUCCCUCGCUGGUCUGAGAGGAUGACCAGCCACACUGGAACUGAGACACGGUGCAGACUCCGACGGGAGGCAGCAGUGGGGAAUAUUGCACAAGGGGCGCAAGCCUGAUGCAGCCAUUGCGCGUGUGUGAAGCAGGCCUUCGGGUUGUAAAGCACUUUCAGCGAGGAGGCGUUACUCGCAGAAGAAGCACCGGCUAACUCCGUGCCAGCCGCCGCGGUAAUAC
rnacentral:rRNA from 1 species